CCUACGUGAGGCAGCAGUAGGGAAUCUUCCACAAUGGGCGAAAGCCUGAUGGAGCAACGCCGCGUGGGUGAAGAAGGUCUUCGGAUCGUAAAACCCUGUUGUUAGAGAAGAAAGUGCGUGAGAGUAACUGUUCACGUUUCGACGGUAUCUGACCAGAAAGCCACGGCUAACUACGUGCCAGCAGCCGCGGUAAUACGUAGGUGGCAAGCGUUAUCCGGAUUUAUUGGGCGUAAAGGGAACGCAGGCGGUCUUUUAAGUCUGAUGUGAAAGCCUUCGGCUUAACCGGAGUAGUGCAUUGGAAACUGGGAGACUUGAGUGCAGAAGAGGAGAGUGGAACUCGAGGUGUAGCGGUGAAAUGCGUAGAUAUAUGGAAGAACACCAGUGGCGAAAGCGGCUCUCUGGUCUGUAACUGACGCUGAGGUUCGAAAGCGUGGGUAGCAAACAGGAUUAGAUACCCGUGUAGUC
rnacentral:rRNA from 1 species